rfam:Homo sapiens chromosome 1, GRCh38 reference primary assembly.
GUCCACGGCCAUACCACCCUGAACACGCCUGAUCUCGUCUGAUUUUGGAAGCUGAGCAGGGCCAGGCCUGGUUAGUACUUGGAUAGUAGAAAUGGCAGUGUCUCCU